UCUUUUGGAUCGUCAAGUUUCCAGCAAGAUUCAUUUUAUUCUGGCUAUGAAACGACAAGUACAGCACCAUCUUCUGCCUAUCAUGGAUAUGAAACUAAGGGUACAGCUCCACCUGCAUCGAGUGCUGCGUAUGAGAAUCAGGUUUGCCCGAUCUGUUUGACAAAUCCCAAAGACAUGGCUUUUGGCUGUGGUCAUCAGACAUGCUGUGAGUGCGGACCAAGUCUCUCAACAUGCCCCAUCUGUCGCAGCGAAAUACAAACUAGAAUAAAGCUCUAUUGAGGAGUUG
rnacentral:misc_RNA from 1 species